AAAAAAGCCACCUUCUGCUUUAGGUUCACAAAGGUGCUUCCAGGCUAUUGUUAAAAGUAUGCUUUUUUAUUAUCACCAUGCACAAGAGUCUAUUAUUAGGCAGUACCCCACAAUUUAAAACAAAAUAAAAAUUUUAUUGAACAAUAAGCGCAGAGUAUCACGGCUUCAAGUUCUAUAAAAUCCAUUGUUUACCCACCCCAUUUUACCGUUUCUCUCUCUUCCUCUCCCUCACUAGGUUCUUACAGAAACCACAAAAAAGAAAAAGAAAAUGGGAGUUGAUUUAGCCAAAACUCUUGUGCUAGUGCAGCUUUCACUACUAUGUUUCACUGUUUUUGGUGAUAAAGAGAUAGAGGCAGCGUCCCCUGUUCCACCACGCUAUCAUGUCUCCUCCCCGGCAGUUUCACCAAGCCACCCGCCUACUCACCCUCAUCACCACCACCACCACCAUGCCAGCUCACCAAAUCUUGCACCGUCUCACCACCACCACUACCAUGGUCACCCACCCACUGAUGCCCCAGUUUACCCUCCCCUCCACUCUCCAGCCCAUGCACCAGUCCACCCACCACUGCCACACUCACACCCUCCUGUUCAGCCUUCCGUGCCCUCUCCGCCGAAAAAACAACCAAAACACCCACAACCACCUGUUAAACCACCGGCCCAACCACCAAAACACCCACAACCACCGGUUAAACCACCAUCUCCGUCACCAGGCUACCACUUCCCGAGGAGCUUUGUAGCAGUGCAAGGUGUGGUUUAUUGCAAGUCAUGCAAGUACCCUGGAGUUAAUACCCUCUUGGGAGCUUCACCACUUACAGGUAAGUUUAAAUUUUUCGAACUUGUGUGAGUUGCUCUUUACAAUAUUCUCAAUGUCAAGAAGCUCCCAUUAGGCCAUUACCAUAAUAACAUGCUAAAUUGUUAUUGGAAGUGUGGGCUAUUUUCUUUUUCUUUAGAUAGCGUAUACAUGCGACUGUUUUCAUGGACAUGUGAACAUUGAACGUGCCCCUUGAAGGAAAAUCUCUGGGGCACACUGUAGAUACAUAGGGUGUCUACAGAUUUGAAUCUAGAGAGAGAGAGAGAGA
rnacentral:misc_RNA from 1 species